UACGGAGGGGGCUAGCGUUGUUCGGAAUUACUGGGCGUAAAGCGCACGUAGGCUGAUUGUUAAGUCGGGGGUGAAAUCCCGGAGCUCAACUCCGGAACUGCCUUUGAUACUGGCAAUCUCGAGUCCGGAAGAGGUUAGUGGAAUUCCCAGUGUAGAGGUGAAAUUCGUAGAUAUUGGGAAGAACACCAGUGGCGAAGGCGGCUAACUGGUCCGGUACUGACGCUGAGGUGCGAAAGUGUGGGGAUCAAACAGG
rnacentral:rRNA from 1 species